rnacentral:lncRNA from 1 species
AACAAAGGCCAAAGGCUCCUGACUUGGGACAGGCGCAAAAAUGAGGCAAGGUUCAACAUGUUUAUGAGAAUUCAACCCUCCCUCAUACCUCUAUCCAACUACAAAAGAGGGACGAAAGAUACCAAAGGGACAGUCAAACUCAUAAAUCUAAAACAAACCGACAACGCCAUGGCUAAAAAUGAAAAAGACAAACAAAAAACAGCACACAUGAC